GAUGAACGCUGGCGGCGUGCUUAACACAUGCAAGUCGAACGAUGAAGCCCAGCUUGCUGGGUGGAUUAGUGGCGAACGGGUGAGUAACACGUGAGUAACCUGCCCUUAACUCUGGGAUAAGCCUGGGAAACUGGGUCUAAUACCGGAUAGGAGCGCCUACCGCAUGGUGGGUGUUGGAAAGAUUUAUCGGUUUUGGAUGGACUCGCGGCCUAUCAGCUUGUUGGUGAGGUAAUGGCUCACCAAGGCGACGACGGGUAGCCGGCCUGAGAGGGUGACCGGCCACACUGGGACUGAGACACGGCCCAGACUCCUACGGGAGGCAGCAGUGGGGAAUAUUGCACAAUGGGCGAAAGCCUGAUGCAGCGACGCCGCGUGAGGGAUGACGGCCUUCGGGUUGUAAACCUCUUUCAGUAGGGAAGAAGCGAAAGUGACGGUACCUGCAGAAGAAGCACCGGCUAGCUACGUG
rnacentral:rRNA from 1 species